AUCAUGACAUGAUCUAGCACUCUUUUUUUUUUUCCUGUGAAUACUGAAUAAUUUGUCCCAGAGAGCAUCCUGCUCUCUUAGGUCUCCAGCUCUUUGUACUGUGUCUGGGAUACUUCCUGUUCCUUUGCCUAUCUAUCUGGUAAGUUGAAUUUAAUUGUUAAAGUUUCAUUAUAAGAAUUACUUUCCUGACAGAGGGUCUCCUGGAUACUCAAAGCAACCUUAGGCUUUCCUUUCUUUAUAACCCUAUCAUACAUUGUGUAUCUUGUAUGGGAGACAUGAGUAGUUUUGUCAAUCAUGGGCUCUGCUCUACUUCUGAGCAUUCAGAAAUUUUACACUUCUCUUUUCUGCUGAAAUUAUGUAUGGCCAGGUGACUCUCUCUGGCCAAUAUAUGAAUGGAGUUAUGUUGAGGUAUAUUUAAGAGCUAGAGUAGGUUUCUUAUUCUCCUCCUCCAUCUGCCAAGACUGCCAACUAUAUUCCAUAGAGUGGAGUCUGUUAGCCUGUGUGUCUGAAUAAGAGUGAAGGAGGGCAGAGCAUUUGCUCAUGAUGGACACAGAAUAUGAGCAAGAAAUGAACCUUUAUUGUUUUAAGCCACUGAGAUGUAAGGAUUGUUUGUUGCUGCAGCAUAACCUAAUCUAGCCUAAUAUAUUUUUACAAUAAUCAGUACCUUAUCUUUUAACAACAUCAGUUUACCAUUUCUUCAAGGAGUAUAUCAUUGUAUCCUUUUUACAGAAUGGGCACUUAAAACAUUUGUUAGCUAGUGCUGGGCUAGAAGACUUCAUAUUUUUUGAGCAUCUACAGUGUUCUUGGCACUGUACUAAGGAUUUUACCCAUGUUAUUUCAUUUGAUCUUUACAACAAUCUUGAAGGUAAGAAUGACUGUUACAGCUUUUCUGAAAGGGAAAAAGACUCAGAGGGGUUUAGGCAACUUGUUCACUGGUCCAGCCUCUGGGCAGAGGCAGAACCAUCAGUCGAACCUAAGUGGAUCUGAUUCUGAAGUCCAAUUCAUUCUAUUGCAUGCAAACCUAAGAGUGACAGAAGAAAGCUCUGGCUGUUGGGAGGUUCCUGUCAAAGCAGACAUUCCUGUCAUGAGCCUUGUAAAGGAUAAACAAACAAGCACAUGAACACAUGGACUGGACUACAGAAAAUUCUGAGAGGCCUUUCAUCUAUACCAUGCCUGCAGUUACCCUUCUCAGCAAUGUGACAGAUGGAGGUGAUCAUCCCUACUUCACAGAUGAAGAAACUGAAAAAGCUUACCCCAGGCCAUAUAGCUGGCCCAUGAUGGAGUUGGAGAUUUAUUCUCAAAUUCUGCUGUUGUUCCCUGAAGGUUUAUUGCAUCUCAUAGAGGAGACACUUUUGUUUCAUCUGCCAUUUGAGGCAGCGCUGAAGCUGGGAUGUGAAUGAUGGUAAUUAGGCUUGUGGAUUUAGCCCAGGCUGAGCAAAGGGAAGGAAGUUCUUGUCUGGACUAGUGCUCAUCAUCCCUGCACUUCCUUUAUUCAGCUUUGGUGUCAGCUGGAAGAAUUGAUUUUUCUUUUUUCUCUUAAACUAAGCUUCCAAUUUGGAUAUAUAUCAAAAUCCAAGGAAAGAUGAUAAGAGAAAUAUUUCACGAGCAACAUACUACCAUUAAAGAGGAAUUGUGGAGCAUAAAGGAUGAUAUGUUUUGGUUUAUUGAACAUUAACUGAAGCUGAAGAAAGCAACUUAAAGGUCAAAAUGAGCCUGGGACUUGGUGACUGAGCAUCAAAGGAGAGCAUCUUAGAAGUUGAGAGAGGCUCAGACUCUUUUAUUUUUUAGGUUCCUAGAAAAAAAUGGACAAUUGCUUUAAUGUAGACAGAGCCCUUCAAAAGGAUGAAAGGUUGAGUUCUGAAGGACCAGAUAUUCCUUUUCUAGAACCUACCAUGGUUGGAAAAUGGAAAUGACUUUUUUGUAGGAUAACUGCUUGCCUCUUCCCUAGACCUUAGGCAAACUGAUAAUCAUAUCUAUAUUCUAUGUCUGUAAUCCUAACCCCAGGUACAGUGCCAGGUACUCAGUGAGUACUUCCAUAAAUAAUGGCUUUGAGAAAGGUACAAAUGAGAAUAAAAGACAAAAGACAGCAUGUGAUGCUGAAGUUAGGUCUACCUUCUCUAGCCAGUGGUUCCCAAGCUUUGAAUUUCAUAGGUGGGUGCAAUUUUUGAAUUGAUUUUGAGGAACUAGAAUAGCCAGACUUGUAAUAUUGUUAAGUAAUGUCACUAAAAACAAGUUAGCAGCUACUGUCUCUUAGACUAAUAAUUUAUUACAAAGAAAAAUAUUUUGAUAUGAAAAAUGAAGAAUAAUGGACAAUUUGCCCCAAGAAAGGAGAUUAGGAGAAUUAGAAUUAGGAGAUUGUAACUCUUUUCUUUUCUUUUCUU